rnacentral:rRNA from 1 species
UACGAAGGGACCUAGCGUAGUUCGGAAUUACUGGGCUUAAAGAGUUCGUAGGUGGUUGAAAAAGUUGGUGGUGAAAUCCCAGAGCUUAACUCUGGAACUGCCAUCAAAACUUUUCAGCUAGAGUAUGAUAGAGGAAAGCAGAAUUUCUAGUGUAGAGGUGAAAUUCGUAGAUAUUAGAAAGAAUACCAAUUGCGAAGGCAGCUUUCUGGAUCAUUACUGACACUGAGGAACGAAAGCAUGGGUAGCGAAGAGGAUUAGAUACCCUCGUAGUCCAUGCCGUAAACGAUGUGUGUUAGACGUUGGAAAUUUAUUUUCAGUGUCGCAGCGAAAGCGAUAAACACACCGCCUAGGGAGUACGACCGCAAGGUUAAAACUCAAAUGAAUUGACGGGGACCCGCACAAGUAGUGGAGCAUGUGGUUUAAUUCGAAGAUACGCGCAGAACCUUACCAACACUUGACAUGUUCGUCGCGACUCUAAGAGAUUAGAGUUUUCGGUUCGGCCGGACGAAACACAGGUGCUGCAUGGCUGUCGUCAGCUCGUGUCGUGAGAUGUUGGGUUAAGUCCCGCAACGAGCGCAACCCUCACUUUUAGUUGCCAUCAUUAAGUUGGGCACUCUGAAAGAACUGCCAGUGAUAAGCCGGAGGAAGGUGGGGAUGACGUCAAGUCCUCAUGGCCCUUACGUGUUGGGCUACACACGUGCUACAAUGGUAUCUACAACAGGAAGCAAGACUGCGAAGUUAAGCAAAUCCCUAAAAGAUACCUCAGUUCGGAUUGCACUCUGCAACUCGAGUGCAUGAAGCUGGAAUUACUAGUAAUCGUGGAUCAGCGUGCCACGGUGAAUGCGUUCCCGGGUCU